rnacentral:rRNA from 1 species
GAUGAACGCUGGCGGCGUGCCUAAUACAUGCAAGUCGAGCGAACAGACGAGGAGCUUGCUCCUCUGACGUUAGCGGCGGACGGGUGAGUAACACGUGGAUAACCUACCUAUAAGACUGGGAUAACCUCGGGAAACCGGAGCUAAUACCGGAUAAUAUAUUGAACCGCAUGGUUCAAUAGUGAAAGACGGUUUUGCUGUCACUUAUAGAUGGAUCCGCGCCGCAUUAGCUAGUUGGUAAGGUAACGGCUUACCAAGGCAACGAUGCGUAGCCGACCUGAGAGGGUGAUCGGCCACACUGGAACUGAGACACGGUCCAGACUCCUACGGGAGGCAGCAGUAGGGAAUCUUCUGCAAUGGGCGAAAGCCUGACGGAGCAACGCCGCGUGAGUGAUGAAGGUCUUCGGAUCGUAAAACUCUGUUAUUAGGGAAGAACAAAUGUGUAAGUAACUAUGCACGUCUUGACGGUACCUAAUCAGAAAGCCACGGCUAACUACGUG